CAUGAAGCUGGAAUCGCUAGUAAUCGCGGAUCAGAAUGCCGCGGUGAAUACGUUCCCGGGCCUUGUACACACCGCCCGUCACACCAUGAGAGCCGGUAACACCCGAAGUCAGGAGCCUAACCGCAAGGAGGGCGCUGCCGAAGGUGGGAUUGGUAAUUGGGGUGAAGUCGUAACAAGGUAAC
rnacentral:rRNA from 1 species